rnacentral:rRNA from 1 species
CCUACGGGAGGCAGCAGCGGGGAAUAUUGCACAAUGGGCGAAAGCCUGAUGCAGCAACGCCGCGUGAGUGAAGAAGGCCUUCGGGUUGUAAAGCUCUGUCUUCUGGGACGAUAAUGACGGUACCAGAGGAGGAAGCCACGGCUAACUACGUCCCAGCAGCCGCGGUAAU